GAUUGACGCUGGCGGCAUGCUUUACACAUGCAAGUCGAACGGUAACAGGCCGCAAGGUGCUGACGAGUGGCGAACGGGUGAGUAAUGCAUCGGAACGUGCCCAGUCGUGGGGGAUAACUGCUCGAAAGAGCAGCUAAUACCGCAUACGAUCUAUGGAUGAAAGCGGGGGACCGUAAGGCCUCGCGCGAUUGGAGCGGCCGAUGUCAGAUUAGGUAGUUGGUGGGGUAAAGGCUCACCAAGCCAACGAUCUGUAGCUGGUCUGAGAGGACGACCAGCCACACUGGGAGUGAGACACGGCCCAGACUCCUACGGGAGGCAGCAGUGGGGAAUUUUGGACAAUGGGGGCAACCCUGAUCCAGCAAUGCCGCGUGCAGGAAGAAGGCCUUCGGGUUGUAAACUGCUUUUGUACGGAACGAAACGGUCUGGGUUAAUACCCUGGGCUAAUGACGGUACCGUAAGAAUAAGCACCGGCUAACUACGUGCCAGCAGCCGCGGUAAUACGUAGGGUGCGAGCGUUAAUCGGAAUUACUGGGCGUAAAGCGUGCGCAGGCGGUUUUGUAAGACAGGCGUGAAAUCCCCGGGCUCAACCUGGAAAUGGCGCUUGUGACUGCAAAGCUGGAGUGCGGCAGAGGGGGAUGGAAUUCCGCGUGUAGCAGUGAAAUGCGUAGAUAUGCGGAGGAACACCGAUGGCGAAGGCAAUCCCCUGGGCCUGCACUGACGCUCAUGCACGAAAGCGUGGGGGAGCAAACAGGAUUAGAUACCCUGGUAGUCCACGCCCUAAACGAUGUCAACUGGUUGUUGGGUCUUUGCUGACUCAGUAACGAAGCUAACGCGUGAAGUUGACCGCCUGGGGAGUACGGCCGCAAGGUUGAAACUCAAAGGAAUUGACGGGGACCCGCACAAGCGGUGGAUGAUGUGGUUUAAUUCGAUGCAACGCGAAAAACCUUACCCACCUUUGACAUGUACGGAAGUUGCCAGAGAUGGCUUCGUGCUCGAAAGAGAGCCGUAACACAGGUGCUGCAUGGCUGUCGUCACCUCGUGUCGUGAGAUGUUGGGUUACCUCCCGCAACGAGCGCAACCCUUGCCAUUAGUUGCUACGAAAGGGCACUCUAAUGGGACUGCCGGUGACAAACCGGAGGAAGGUGGGGAUGACGUCAAGUCCUCAUGGCCCUUAUAGGUGGGGCUACACACGUCAUACAAUGGCCGGUACAAAGGGCAGCCAACCCGCGAGGGGGAGCCAAUCCCAUAAAGCCGGUCGUAGUCCGGAUCGCAGUCUGCAACUCGACUGCGUGAAGUCGGAAUCGCUAGUAAUCGUGGAUCAGCAUGUCACGGUGAAUACGUUCCCGGGUCU
rnacentral:rRNA from 1 species